AUGCGACUCUUUUUUUAAACAUGUGAUCAAACACACCCGGUUUUCCUUCUUCUCCAACUCCAACAUGUUUGUGAAAUACUUCCAUGACAGGGCUUAUUCUUCAACCUCAAAUCUUUCUUCUCCGGAUACCUACUGUAGACAUGUAAAUUUCGUUGCAUACAAAUGAUGCAUCACAAAGCUCCACGUAGCAUAUGCCUCAUCACAAAUGGACAAGUCAUCAAUGACAUGUGGCAUAAAUUUGGCACAAGGGUCUAAAGUGAUCCUAAACUGGAAAGAAAGCUAAGGCAUAUUCACAAAACAAGCAAGAAUUGAAGAUUGUUCACAAAAUAGCAAUAAGGCCUCUAA
rnacentral:lncRNA from 1 species